GGGUCAGCGACUUAUAUUCUGUAGCAAGGUUAACCGAAUAGGGGAGCCGGAGGGAAACCGAGUCUUAAUUGGGCGUUAAGUUGCAGGGUAUAGACCCGAAACCCGGUGAUCUAGCCAUGGGCAGGUUGAAGGUUGGGUAACACUAACUGGAGGACCGAACCGACUAAUGUUGAAAAAUUAGCGGAUGACCUGUGGCUGGGGGUGAAAGGCCAAUCAAACCGGGAGAUAGCUGGUUCUCCCCGAAAGCUAUUUAGGUAGCGCCUCGUGAAUUCAUCUCCGGGGGUAGAGCACUGUUUCGGCUAGGGGGCCAUCCCGGCUUACCAACCCGAUGCAAACUGCGAAUACCGGAGAAUGUUAUCACGGGAGACACACGGCGGGUGCUAACGUCCGUCGUGAAGAGGGAAACAACCCAGACCGCCAGCUAAGGUCCCAAAGUCAUGGUUAAGUGGGAAACGAUGUGGGAAGGCCCAGACAGCCAGGAUGUUGGCUUAGAAGCAGCCAUCAUUUAAAGAAAGCGUAAUAGCUCACUGGUCGAGUCGGCCUGCGCGGAAGAUGUAACGGGGCUAAACCAUGCACCGAAGCUGCGGCAGCGAACGUAUCACCCAAGACAACUUUACGGAGUUGACGAUUGACGGAGCGAAGCGACGUCAAAGCGUUCAUUAAAGUCGAGUUGGCUUAGGGAUACGUUCGUUGGGUAGGGGAGCGUUCUGUAAGCCUGUGAAGGUGUGUCGUGAGGC
rnacentral:rRNA from 1 species